ensembl:lncRNA
GACACGUGUCCCGCAGCCGUACCGCCCGCUACAUGGAGCACCACAUACUGGGCCGGAAGCCUCUCAUGCUCUCCACGGUCAAGCCCAGGCUGAUUUACUCCCUCUUCCUGAGGCCAUCCCUUAUGAGGGAAAUGUGGGUUCACAAUGAUCAAGUGUGGAUUAAGUUGUCGGACGGCAACGCAUUUUCAUUGUUGCUAUUGUACAGCAACAAUUAUAAAUCGAUUGCAAUUUACAAAGCACUUACUAAUACACCAGGGGAAGGGGCAUGCUGCA